rnacentral:lncRNA from 1 species
CCCGACAUGUUUCCAAACACCUUAUGGGGCUAGUCCACUGCAUGCCCAGCCUGCCCAGUGUUCUCCUGCCUCCGUUUCUUUAUUUUUUAUUUUUUUAAAGAUUUUAUUUUUUCCUUUUUCUCCCCAAAGCCCCCCAGUACAUAGUUGCAUAUUCUUCGUUGUGGGUCCUUCUAGUUGUAGCAUGUGGGACGCUGCCUCAGCGUGGUCUGAUGAGCAGUGCCAUGUCCGUGCCCAGGAUUCGAACCAACGAAACACUGGGCCGCCUGCAGCGGAGCGCACAGACUUAACCACUCGGCCACGGGGCCAGCCCCUCCUGCCUCCGUUUCUUGAUGGUCACUCCAAUUCUCCUGCCAGCCUGGGGGCUGCCCUGAACCCUGGCCAUCACGCUGAGCCUUCUCGGCCGGAGUUCCCAAAUUGCUGUCUGGCAAAAGAUUUGCCAUUUUCUUAACUACUGAACCAUCACAGAUCAAUACUUUUGUGAAAUAAAAUAAGAAAAUGAAUUAAUAGGAGAAUAAUCCUGUGCUUGGCUGUCAUGGCAAUGUCAAACAUCAAUAAAAGUUUCUAAAUGCUUAUUCUUAAUUACUGUACUUAAUUUCAUCACAGACUGGUAACAAACAGUCACCAGGGGACCACGCUUUGAGGACCACUGUUUGUGCUGGGCCAGCGGUUCUCAAAUCGUGGUCCGCACCAGCAGCUUGGGCAUCACCUGGGAACGGAAAUGCCGAUCCUCGAGCCCACCCUUUAGACCUUGUGAAUCGGUAACUCUGAGGUGGGGCCCAGGAAUCUGUCUUUUCAACAAGCCCUCCACGUGAUUCUGACGUACACUCAAGUUUGAGAACCACUGCUCCGGCAGCCCUUUCCCUUAGAGUGGGCUGGGCUAGGCCCCUAGGAACCCUACAGAAGGUGAGGGCUACUUGAGGAUUCUAGAACCUUCCAGGCCAGUCUCUGCCAUGUUCCUUACUCCACCCACCAUGGAAUUGGAAGAGCUCUCUGAGGCUCAGCCACAGGCCUAUAGAGAUGAGGGAGGAGGAAAGAGGGUGGAAAUGAAGAUCAUUGGAGCCCCACACUGCCAAGAAAAGAUUCUCAUCAGGGCCAGGCUCCUGGAGAUCACGGAAGGAGGCUUACGAGACCACUGGUCUCCAUUAGCAUUUUCCCAAGGGCUACAGCCAGACCAAGAUCUGCACCCUGGCUUCACCACCUUUAUUGGGCAACUGCAGACUUUGGUCUCCCACCUACGAGAUGGGACAGUGACAUCCAUCUUAACAGGGAUGUGA